GAAGCUCAGUUUGCACAUUGAGACAGGCCAUUUAAUUUGUCCCAGGGAACAAUGGAGGCUGCAUCGUUAGUGUAGUUUACUGUUUUAAUAAAGUGAGAUGAUGGAAAUUGUCAGUAGACUUAGAGGUUAUUAGGACAUAAGUGAUUGUUUUAACAGUGAUUAAGACUAGAAGAGUGAAUGAAAGUGUAAUAAAGCUGCUACUAAACAUGCACAGUAAUCAAUUUUCCAAUUAAACAAAUAAAAGGGAUGGAAUUGAAUAUCGCCGCUUGACCACCCUGUAGGCAGUGGCAGGGCCGGUGACUGUGUGGCUCGGGGACAGUCCGGCACAGACAAGAGUAGUAGGCCUGUGUUGCGGUCAACCAGGGCUGAUAUCGAUUUCCUGCGAAGCCGCACAACUCCGAGCUAAGCUCAUGGCAGUCCGGCUCCGACUCCUGUCUUGGGCGGCACUGCACCAUGGUCGGUCAUGAGCGAGGCACCGCCGGAGACGUCGCCGGUUCCAGAGGGUGCAGAACCUACAGUUCGCCGCUCUAGUCUGCAGACUGGCCCAAAGGAGGUUCCCCUUCACGUUCACUUCCCACCAGAGUCAAUACUCACCAGUGUGACAGUCAUACCUCCUCCACCAGAGAAGAACAGCCCACUGAGGAGCUUCAAGAAGAUCAUCUGCUGUUGUCUCUGCUGCUCAAGACCUCCCUCGUGAUUAGAGAUGGGUUCUCUGAGUACGAACUCUAGUCCAUCAUUUGUAUAUCUUCAUUCACAGUUUUACAGACAAUUCUAUCCAAUAGUUUCAUUGGUAAUGUACAGAGAAAUGGAAUCUCUUUUCAUCACCCUUAUUGGAAGAUACUUAUUACCUUAAGUUUUUCAAAAACCCAAAAGCACACAAAAAGCUAGGGGUUUAAAAAUUACCUAUUUAUCUAUGUAUUUUGAAUAGUGUCUUUAAAAUAAAGUUUAAUUUUAAAAAUGUAUAAUUCUAAAAAGCAUUUUAAUUAAAUGUGCAUGUUGUACUUCGGUGUAUUAAUACAAUUAGAUUAAUAAAAAAUAGGAAUGGACCUGGCAAUAAUGAUAAUGAACAUUAUUCUUUGAGAAAAGUGAUAAACCACUACACUAUUUACCAGAAGAGUUCAUAGUUAUAUGUAAAAUGGUUACACACAAUAACAAAAAUAUACACAUAAUUUAUAAAUAUAUAAAUUGGCUCAAGAAGCCACCAUACAAGUUAAAAACGUAGAGGAUAAAAAUUGCAAAACGGUACAUAGUGAAUUAACUAUAUGAAGGUCGUGAAACACUGUUUAACUUGUUUAAACAUAUUAUUCUCAAACAUCCAUCUACAGUAAAGUCACAGUAUUCAUAUGUGUUCCUAUAUCAUAGAAAUGGAAUACUUAAGUUUUAAUUUCAGUUAAUGGUUCUAAAACCUGUUUUGGUUAAUAAUUGGAACAGUUGUAAAGACUAUGGAAUAUUUUAACCCAUAUUUUUAAUAUAGUAAUCUGAGGUUGAAAACUCCAACAUUCAGAGGUGGAAGUACAAGGGCUGUGCGUCUCUUCUGAAGCCAGAGAACUACAUGGCUAUAUUGGCUGAGGAAUGUGUUACUUUUAGACCCUGCAAUAUUAUUUGUAGUUAAUGUUUUUCUAUUGUAAGUUAUAUUUUAUUUGCUGUAUCUACUCAAAUUCGAGAAAACUACUACAUACAAAUUGGAUGUUUGGUAUUGUUGAUGGAAAAGAAUAUUGUAUAAAUCAUAAUAUAAAUUAAUUAUAACAGUUACAAUAUACUCAUAGAUUUGAUCUAAAUUAUAAUAAUGUUUAUUGUGAUAAAUUUUAAGAUUGAAAGGUCAAAAGUGUUCUGAGUUUUGAAUAGGUAGCAGAAAGAUUCAGAAACCUAUUUGAAAAAGAUAAUGAUAAUAAUAAUUAUUUUUAUUAUUAGAAGUGUAUAAUGUUGAUGAAAAUGAGCGAAGAAACUUUUGUUUUGUGUUACUAAUAUUAUAAAACAGUAAACUAUAUAUACUUAUAUUUGUACAUUAGACUGCAAAAUAAUUAUAUUUUAUGUUUUACUAAGAGGGGACAUAUUACUUUGUUUCCAAAUAAUGUAUGUUUCUUAAGAAAAGCAACAUUAAUUACUGUAAGGUUUUAUAGUGACUUUAUUGCAGACAUUACACAUCUCAGUUUUAUGUUUUUAAAUGUGUAAAAAUAAAAUGUAAAAAUGCUAUUUAUUAGCCUACUUUAUAAUUAGUCAUUCUGUACUUUAUAACUUUAUUAAUGUCAAAAAUUUACAAGUUGAAAACAAGGAAAUAACCAGGAUUCUGAUUUGGAAAAGACACAUCAGGGAUUUGAUGGAUUUUGACCUCCUCUCCUCUGUUAUUGAGAGGGAGGUGUGGGACCUCUCUGAAAUAUUUUUGUAAAAUUGAGCCUUAAACAAUUUUUAUAACACGAAUAUCCAAAUUAAUAUCACUAAGUGAUUUUGUGGAAAUAUGGCCACAGCCAUAUAACCCACCAACACAACCAACCUAUAUGUUAAGAUACUUCGGCAUUAUUACUUGAUUAUACACAAAGAUAUAAAAAAUGUUAAGGUAAAAUAAAAUAUGCUAAAUAUGCAGCUAAAAUAAAACAUGGAAAUAGAAAUAUAAAAUUACUAGUACAACUUUUGUUUUUUCUAGCAUUUUUACUAUUUCAUAAAUGUGAUGGUUAAGGUGAAUCAAAAUGUCAUAAAGUGUACAAUUACAUCUGAGGUAUUUAGAGAUGUAGGUUACAAUUUGUAAAUAAAUGUUUUAGAAUAUUUACAGCUUCAAAGAACUUUCUUUUUAUAAUGUUCUUGAUUUUUCAAAAUGCUCCAAGAUUACCCACAGUAAAAUUUUUGAAAAAUGUACAUUGCAAAUUGACAACCAUUAAAACAUAAUUGAAGCAACAAGUUUGGCAAGAAUUAAUAUUCAUGUUUCUCAUGUGUUUUAAGCCUUCACACUAUACAGACUUCUUAGUUAGCUAGUUCAUUUCUUAUAAUGCUAAAUAUUAAAUUUUCAUGAACGCCUUGGUAUUGUAAUCUCUCGAUUAGAAGACAUUAUUCAUUAAGCCUUGGAUAUUUUCAAGCUGUACAUGACAUAUUUUUUUCUUUCGACUGUGCUAUAGUUUUUUGAAAUCUUAUUAAACACUGUUGGAGUAAUAUUACAAGUCAAAAAGGAACAACUGUUUUAACAGUAUUGAAUAAUAAAUAUAGUCAAGGACCUGCACAUUAUGUUCAUACAUCACAAUCACUAAAAUAAUAAUUGGAGGUUUAAAAAUUGUUAUUGCACCCUUGCCCAUUUGUAUUUCCACUGAUGCUACAUCUUACAAACUUGAAAGAUGCCGAGAACAAGAUGCAAAAUGAAUAAAUGGGAUAGUUAAGUGGGUCUAAUGACAGAACAGUCUUCACACCCAAAUUCAGGCUAAUAUAAUUUAAACAUGCUUUAGCAAGUGGGUAAAUCUGUUGCUUAACAGUCCUUAACAGUCCAGAAUAUGCUAUCAGUCCUAUUCUAGAACUUAUAAGUUUCCAAAUAUGUAUGUCUUUGUAAAAGAAAUGUUUGAACAACCCAGACUGAUAUCUAGAGGAUUGAAUAUUCAAUUGCUUAUUCUUUAGAUGUGUUUCGUUUUAGGAGAGGUUCUCAGAUCCCUCCCCAGGCUAUGAGUUGGAAGAGUACAAUGGCCAGCCAUGAUAAUUCAGAGAAACUGCCCCAUGAGUUAUUUAUUAAUGUAACUUUUUGUAAAUUGAUAAUUAUUUUUAAAAUCAUAAAAACUAGGAACCUCAAGUAAAAUUAUUUAUUUUCCAACAAAAAAUUGAAAGGAUACUUUUAGAUAUAAAUAUUUUCUACUUCAAGUUUCAAUAGCACACAAUUACAAAACUCCGAUUAUUGUCAAAGUUGUGUUGUGACCAUUGAGUGCAUUUCAGUUGUAAGACAGAGAGGGAGUGGAAGAUCGAGAACACUGCCCGACAGGCGUUCUACUCGGUUUGUGGGUUCAAACUAGUCUAGAAGGCUUGCUCAGUCUCUUCUCCAGGUUCUCUGUAAAUUUAACCUUUCAGGAGUGGUCUCAACAACAAAUAUAUUUUAUUUUUCCACCAGUUUUAGGGAGUCAUGGUGAUUCACUGGUCAGUUCCAGAAGAAGAAGCUCAUCAACAACUAGCUUUGGAUACUGGAAGUCAAGUUGAAACUGAAUUGUAAAUACUUGUAGCAACACUUUACCAUUAAUUUCUUUGAUGUAUAUUCUUGACACAUAUAAGGCGACACAAAAAAGGACAUUAUCCUCAUUUUUGUGAUAUGGAUUCUUCAACAGGCUGGAAGUAUUGCUAGUGUUUAAAUGUUAUCAUGGUCAAUCGCUUCCAAAAACAACAAAUGCCUAAACAUUGUGAUUCUCAUACCCACUGGCAUAAAAUAUUGUUAAAGGAAAGUGCUCAUAAUCUAGAAUAGGAUUGAAAAUCCCAUUCUUCGUCUGUUAUUUUGUAAAACCAGAAUAUUGCCUUUCAAUUUUUGUUUGAACUAAUUCACCAUAUUGUUUCAUAGUGCCCAACAAUUAACUGUUUGUUUCAGUAGCUCAAAUAGGAUCUUUAUCAAGGAGGAUGGUAUGAAAUAUAAUGCACUUUUUAUAUAGAGGUUUGGGGUACUCUCUGGACAAUGUUUUGGUCAUAAUAAAUUCAUACUAAAAAACUAUUAAUAACUUAUUGUUAAGCCACUAACAAAAUUUAAAAUAAUAAUCUGUAUGUUUUAGUUUGUGGAUUUCAGUUUCAAAUUUUGCUCUGGGGAAUUGAUCAUCUUAAUCCUUGAUAAAUAGAAUACGCAAAAAUAAUCAGAAUUCUUCAGAAAAAAUAAGCUUUUGGUAAUAAUUUCCAGCACAAUAGUCUGGCAUUGUGUUAACAAAAUUGAUUGCUCUAUUGUUUUUUCGCCACAUAAAAGUUUCCAGUACAUCAAUUAUUGGAUGACGAAAAUAACAAUAAAUUGGCUAAUAAAACAUGAUUCAUAUUGGUAAUUAAAUAACAGUACAACUCUUGAGUGUCUUCAUACUGUAUUUUCAGUUAAAUUAGAAAUUGGGUCAAAACAUCAAUACUAUAUUAUUAUAUUUGAUUAUUGUGAACUAUUGUUGAUUAUUAUUAUAAACCUAUUAGUUAUUUAGGGCAUGGAUUUGAAGCUAAUAAUUUUGUUCUUUGUAGAUUUGAUAAAGAUCAUUCCCAAAAAUUGUAUGUAAUUAGUACUCCAAAAAAUAGAAUAUAAUUUUAGUGUUCACAGUCAGUUAACGUAAUACUUUUAUUACCGCCAGAAAAGAUUGAAUAAUUUUUAUAAGUCGUUUUGAAAGGACUCAAAGAGCUUUUUCUUAAAAAACUAUCUUCGUUGGAAAGUAAUCCAAGGGUUUAUGGAACGAAAACAAAGUAUUUCCAACAGUGAGGAAACCUUAUUUAAAUACAAUCAAUGUUCAUCUUUAAUUCAGUCAUGCAAUGCUGGUAUCAAGACUUUGGUGAUUCAAGCUAAAAAUACCCAGAAUAUGAGGUCAAAUAAGUGGGAUUGUUCUAUACUUAGACAUUGUCAACCUAUUUUAAUUCUGAAGUAGAUCCUACUUAAUGUAUAAAUUAAUAACACAAUCAUGUAAAUUUGACCUGUUGAAUAUUUAAGCAGUUUUAUUAAAAUUCUGGGCGAGUUAAUAACUAAAUUGAGUGUUCUACAAAAAAAAUAAGUAAUUCAUUUCAAUUCAAAACAGCUUUAUUCACUUAGCAUAUACACAUAUAUACAAGAAUAGUGCCAGGAUUUAAUUCAUAUUCUUACUAGAUUAAAAAGAAAAACAAGAAUACAUAACAGAAAAUACGAGAUAUAUCACAGGAAAUAGAAAAUGUUAUAAAUACAAUUAAAACAGUAUGGGAAACCUACGACAAUGGAUAAUAUUUUGAGAGAACAAUCAAUGUGUAGAUUACAAGAAUUCUAUAACAUUGGUAAAAAAAUUACCUUCUAGCUUUUGAAAAUAAUCUUUUUUAUGUAAAAUAGUUGCAAUAACUUUUGACAAAAUUAUUUUUUUUAAUAAGUAUGUCUAAAAAUGUAUUUACAUCUGUUGUAUUAGUCUUUAUCCUAAUUCGCUGCUUACAGGAUUCCCACAAUGAAUUAUCUGAUUAGUGACUUGAAGGUUCUCAUGAAAGUUUUUCAGCUUAAUGAGUUUUAAGGAUCUUAAUGAAUUCAUUAAUUUUGAAAUUUAAUACAAACAAAUAUCUAAAGUGAAAUAUACAUAUUACCGUUGUCUAUUGAUCUAACACAACAUUGUGAGCUUGAUCUCAGCUGUAGAUUCCUAUUGGUUCCAACUAAUAUCUAGAUGUGUACCUCAUUGCAGUGCUUUAGUGCUUUGCUUUACAUCAGUGUUUCAUCUAGAUAUAGCAUUGGCAAACUGUGUUGUUGAUUUCUGGAAUAUGCCACAAAAUAUUGUUCUGUGAUGUUUUCAGUGCAUUCUGAAAUUUAGCUACUGUAUAUAAAAAUAGAUCUCCAAUGUGUCUUACACCACCAGUACAACACUCUGGCUCACUCUGGGAGGGUUGUAAUAGUUUUCUAAGCUGGAAAACAUUAAAUAGUGGUCUUUAUUAUUUUUCCUUUCAAAUAGCGUAGAUAACAAACCAAACCAGUACAGUCCUGAUUAAAAUUACUCCUAUAAGGAAAAGUUUUUUAAAACCAAUACUGUAUCUCCUCAAAAGUUUUGAAUGUAUAAAUACUGUAAUCGACAUAAUGUUGAUAUUUCCUUUCUGCAACAUAGCUGUUUCUCAUGUAUUAAUUAUAGUAUUACUAACCUAUAAUACUACUGUAUUACAUUACACUCACUACCUUCUCUUAUACACUCUGUAUGUUAUAGGUUAAUAAAAAAGGUAUACAGAAAUGUCAGUCUUACUUUUUAUUUAAAUGUCAUAAAAUUAAAAAUUCUGCUUCCACUUACAAUUUUUGGUCUUAGACUAAUCAAUACUAUUUAAUUAGAGUUUUAACUGUCAAAUUUUGUACAAUAUUUAAAAUUAUUUGUUUAUGAUUGUUUCAAGUUAUUAAAAACUAAAAAAAUUGCAAUCAAUAAUUCUAUUGUGUGAUUAGGUAGAAGGCUUGUGUUAGGGCAUCAUACUAUAAAUGUCGAUGUGUCCCCUCUUUAUUGAAUUAGAGUUAAGCUCUGAGUACUUUUCAAAAGCAAAAGGUUCCUGAACCUAAAAUUAUAAAUUCUAUCUUGAUAUAUACUGGCUGUGUAUUUAGGUAUAGAAAAUACCAUACAUUUAGAGUUUUGUAUUGUUGUUACUACAUAUUUUACUAUAAAUAUAUUAUGGAUUUAAAUUGUUUAUUUUAGUGUAAAUAAUAUAAGUUGUAUAAAAACCUGUAAAUGAAUGUGAAAUACAUACUUACAUCCUUAGAAUAAGUAA